rnacentral:rRNA from 1 species
UACAGGGGGGGCAAGCGUUGUUCGGAAUUACUGGGCGUAAAGGGCUUGUAGGUGGCCAACUAAGUCACACGUGAAAUCCCCAGGCUUAACCUGGGAACUGCGUGUGAUACUGGAUGGCUUGAAUCCGGGAGAGGGAUGCGGAAUUCCAGGUGUAGCGGUGAAAUGCGUAGAUAUCUGGAGGAACACCGGUGGCGAAGGGCGGCACCUGGACCGGUAUU